UGUAACUUGGGGCUGACCUAUACUGGGGGCAAGCUUGAUCAUAAUGGUUAUGGGAAGCUUCUUAGUUUUUCUUCUGCUUUUAAAUAACAAAUGGAAAGAUGCUGUUUUACAUGCAUGUUUAGCUUCAAGUUUGUGGCUCCCAUAUGUUGUGCCUCAUAUGACCUGUGACCCUUGACUAGGUGAUGACAUGUGACCCUUGACUAGGUGAUGACCUGUGACCCUUGACUAGGUGAUGACCUGCGACCCUUGACUAGGUGAUGACCUAUGACCCUUGACUAGGUGAUGACAUGUGACCCUUGACUAGGUGAUGACCUGCGACCCUUUACUACUUGAUGACCUGUGACCCUUGACUAGGUGAUGACCUGUGACCCUUUACUACUUGAUGACCUGUGACCCUUUACUAGUUGAUGACCUGUGACCCUUUACUAGUUGAUGACAUGUGACCCUUGACUAGGUGAUGACCUUUUACCCUUUACUACUUGAUGACCUGUGACCCUUGACUAGGUGAUGACCUGUGACCCUUGACUAGGUGAUGACAUGUGACCCUUUACUAGUUGAUGACAUGUGACCCUUGACUAGGUGAUGACCUUUUACCCUUUACUACUUGAUGACCUGUGACCCUUGACUAGGUGAUGACCUGUGACCCUUGACUAGGUGAUGACAUGUGACCCUUUACUAGUUGUUGACAUGUGACCCUUUACUAGGUGAUGACCUGUGACCCUUGACUAGGUGAUGACAUGUGACCCUUUACUAGGUGAUGACAUGUGACCCUUGACUAGGUGAUGACCUUUUACCCUUUACUACUUGAUGACCUGUGACCCUUGACUAGGUGAUGACCUGUGACCCUUGACUAGGUGAUGACCUGUGACCCUUGACUAGGUGAUGACAUGUGACCCUUUACUAGGUGAUGACAUGUGACCCUUGACUAGGUGAUGACCUUUUACCCUUUACUACUUGAUGACCUGUGACCCUUGACUAGGUGAUGACCUGUGACCCUUGACUAGGUGAUGACAUGUGACCCUUUACUAGGUGAUGACCUGUGACCCUUUACUAGGUGAUGACAUGUGACCCUUUACUAGUUGAUGACAUGUGACCCUUUACUAGGUGAUGACAUGUGACCCUUUACUAGGUGAUGACCUGUGACUCUUUGACGAGGUGAUGACAUGUGACCCAUUACUAGGUGAUGACCUGUGACCCUUUACUAGGUGAUGACCUGUGACCCUUUACUAGGUGAUGACCUGUGACCCUUUACUAGGUGAUGACCUGUGACUCAACCUAGUAAUGACCUGUGACCUUUGACCUGGUGAUGACCUCUACUAGGGGAUGACCUGUGAUGUGACUUGGUUAUGACUUGUGAUCCUGGAUUGGGUGAUGACCUGUGACCCUUGACCUGGUGAUGACCUUUGACUUGGUGAUUUCCUGUGACUUUUGAACUGGUGAUUACCUCUGACCUUUGAACUGGUGAUUCCCUGUGACCUCUGAACUGGUGAUGAUCUCUGACCUUUGACCUGCUUAUUACCUGUGACUUUUGAUCUGGUGAUAACCUGUGACUUGACCUGGUGAUAACCUUUGACCUUGUGAUGAUCUGUGACCCUGACCUGGUGAUGACCCGUUGACUCCAUCAUCACCUUGACAGUGGACAUAAUAAUAAUAACCUUUCAGCUUUGGUCUGUGGCCUAAUGGAUGACCUCAUUUAUUACUUUCAACCUGUGGUAAUUAUUUUACCUGUGUAUUGAUGUAUAAGGUUAUAUACUGUAGUGUCUGGCUAGUAACAUGUCUGGCUAGUAACAUGUCUGGCUAGUAACAUGUCUGGAUGGUGACAUGUGUCUGCCUAGUGACAUGUCUGCCUAGUGACAUGUCUGGCUGGUGACAUGUGUCUGCCUUGUGACAUGUAUCUGGCUGGUAACAUGUGUCUGGCUAGUGACAUGUGUCUGGCUGGUGACAUGUGUCUGGCUAGUGACAUGUGUCUGGCUGGUGACAUGUGUCUGGCUAGUGACAUGUGUCUGGCUGGUGGCAUGUGUCUGGCUAGUGACAUGUGUCUGGCUGGUGACAUGUGUCUGGCUAGUGACAUGUGUCUGGCUGGUGACAUGUGUCUGGCUAGUGACAUGUGUCUGGCUGGUGACAUGUGUCUGGCUAGUGACAUGUGUCUGGCUGGUGACAUGUGUCUGGCUGGUAACAUGUGUCUGGCUAGUGACCUGUGUGGCUCAUGACCUGUUUCAAAAGCUGGUGAUGAUCAGUGACCCGUGUUGGCUCAAAUUGUUGACUAAUAACAUUACCAGUGACCUCUAACAGUGUGUCAUAUGUUCCAUGGAGUGUGACUUAUGACGAGAUUCACAACUUAAUGUGUAGGUCAGACAAUAGAAGGAAUAAUACUGUGUAGGUCAGACAAUAGAAGGAAUAAUGCUGUGUAGGUCAGACAAUAGAAGGAAUAAUACUGUGUAGGUCAGACAAUAGAAGGAAUAAUACUGUGUAGGUCAGACAAUAGAAGGAAUAAUGCUGUGUAGGUCAGACAAUAGAAGGAAUAAUACUGUUUAGGUCAGACAAUAGAAAGAAUAAUACUGUGUAGGUCAGACAAUAGAAGGAAUAAUGCUGUGUAGGUCAGACAAUAGAAGGAAUAAUACUGUUUAGGUCAGACAAUAGAAGGAAUAAUACUGUGUAGGUCAGACAAUAGAAGGAAUAAUACUGUUUAGGUCAGACAAUGGUAGGAAUAAUACUGUAGGUCAGACAAUAGAAGGAAUAAUACUGUGUAGGUCAGACAAUAGAAGGAAUAAUACUGUAGGUCAGACAAUAGAAGGAAUAAUACUGUGUAGGUCAGACAAUAGAAGGAAUAAUACUGUAGGUCAGACAAUAGAAGGAAUAAUACUGUGUAGGUCAGACAAUAGAAGGAAUAAUACUGUAGGUCAGACAAUAGAAGGAAUAAUGCUCUUUAGGUCAGACAAUUGAAGGAAUAAUACUGUUUAGGUCAGACAAUAGAAGGAAUAAUACUGUUUAGGUCAGAAUGGUAGGAAUAAUACUGUAGGUCAGACAAUAGAAGGAAUAAUACUGUUUAGGUCAGACAAUAGAAGGAAUAAUGCUGUUUAGGUCAGACAAUUGAAGGAAUAAUACUGUUUAGGUCAGACAAUAGAAGGAAUAAUACUGUUUAGGUCAGACAAUGGUAGGAAUAAUACUGUAGGUCAGACAAUAGAAGGAAUAAUACUGUGUAGGUCAGACAAUAGAAGGAAUUAAACUGUAGGUCAGACAAUGGAAGGAAUAAUACUGUUUAGGUCAGACAAUAGAAGGAAUAAUACUGUGUAGGUCAGACAAUAGAAGGAAUAAUACUGUAGGUCAGACAAUAGAAGGAAUAAUACUGUGUAGGUCAGACAAUAGAAGGAAUAAUACUGUAGGUCAGACAAUAGAAGGAAUAAUGCUCUUUAGGUCAGACAAUUGAAGGAAUAAUACUGUUUAGGUCAGACAAUAGAAGGAAUAAUACUGUUUAGGUCAGAAUGGUAGGAAUAAUACUGUAGGUCAGACAAUAGAAGGAAUAAUACUGUUUAGGUCAGACAAUAGAAGGAAUAAUGCUGUUUAGGUCAGACAAUUGAAGGAAUAAUACUGUUUAGGUCAGACAAUAGAAGGAAUAAUACUGUGUAGGUCAGACAAUAGAAGGAAUAAUACUGUGUAGGUCAGACAAUAGAAGGAAUAAUACUGUUUAGGUCAGACAAUGGAAGGAAUAAUACUGUAGGUCAGACAAUAGAAGGAAUAAUACUGUAGGUCAGACAAUAGAAGGAAUAAUACUGUAGGUCAGACAAUGGAAGGAAUAAUACUGUGUAGGUCAGACAAUAGAAGGAAUAAUACUGUGUAGGUCAGACAAUAGAAGGAAUAAUACUGUGUAGGUCAGAAAAUGGAAGGAAUGAUACUGUGUAGGUCAGAAAAUGGAAGGAAUAAUACUGUGUAGGUCAGACAAUAGAAGGAAUAAUACUGUAGGUCAGACAAUAGAAGGAAUAAUACUGUGUAGGUCAGACAAUAGAAGGAAUAAUACUGUAGGUCAGACAAUAGAAGGAAUAAUACUGUGUAGGUCAGACAAUAGAAGGAAUAAUACUGUUUAGGUCAGACAAUAGAAGGAAUAAUACUGUAGGUCAGACAAUAGAAGGAAUAAUACUGUGUAGGUCAGACAAUAGAAGGAAUAAUACUGUGUAGGUCAGAAAAUGGAAGGAAUGAUACUGUGUAGGUCAGACAAUAGAAGGAAUAAUACUGUAGGUCAGAUAAUUGACUUAAUGAAAUGCUCACUGAUAUAAGGAGCCUUUCAUGUGCACAAGUAAUAACUUUAGUGUAUGACAUUAGAGUUUAACAGGUGGGGCCAUGACAGUUAAUACCCUCUCAGUCACCCUUUUGCCCAGUCAGUGCGCAAGUAAGUGAUAGACUCCAGCGAGCACUCACCUGGGCGGCAGGUGGUGAGUCACACACGCACGGCUAUAGGAGAUCUUUCACCACGAGGAAUGGAUAUGUUAACACCACAACUAUGUCUUAGUCAUCUGUAUUUUCAUUUCAGAUGUUGUGAUAGGUGUCAAUAACUUAUAAUAUGUUUAUGUUCAGUCAGGAAUUUGAAAUUAGUAGUUCUAGUUAUGGUAUAUUUCUCAGCCAGUGUCAGUACAGGUGAUAAUUAUGUAUACUGUAGUUGGACUUAUCCAGGUCACUUGUCAGUACAGUACAGUAUUUACAUCUUAUUACUAUCAACUUUAUCACUGUUAAUUUUCCUGAAAUAAACCUUUUUAAAGAUUUUAUAAAAAAUGUGGGGAUAAAAUUUGCCAGUGAAAGAGAUACCUACUUGCUGUGUGAGUUGAUACACUACUGUAGGGCCAACUCACUCCAGUAAUGGGAUCAAACCUGCCACCUUGAGUUGGUAAGUCAAUUUCUUAUUUUUGCCAUAAUGUCUUUCUUGUUGUGGUGUUGACAACUAGCCUAUGGCUGAUACAGCAUAGUGUAGUGUUUUGUGUGAAAGGUAGCCAUAUAUUAUAAUAAUGCUUAAAGAACCAUUCUUAGCUGAAGGAUUUUUUUAAUAAAAUAGCUUCUUUCAUCAGUCAGUUUUUGCCUCAAUUAUUGAGUCAUAAAAUAAAGUACCCUGUAAUGCCCAACUUGUGUGUACAGUACAGUAUGUCUUCUAGUGGUUUAGAUAUUGUCUGGCUUGUUAUUAUCUAUAGCUUUCUGCAUAUGCAUAAUUGAUAUUAAUUUAUAAAUUUUGUAAAUAUAAAUUUUUCUAUUAAGAACUCUGAUAGGGCAAAUUUUAUGUAAAUGAUUAAGAUAUUAGGUGACUUGUGGCCCUUGUCUACUCAUAAGAUCUUGUUGGUUUUUUUGGGUGCAUAUAUUGCUGUGCCUGAAUAUCUCAUUGUCACGUUUACCAUUCAGUGUUAGAUGUUUACCAU